rnacentral:rRNA from 1 species
AAGUCGUAACAAGGUUUCCGUAGGUGAACCUGCGGAAGGAUCAUUAUUGUAAAACAGAGGGGGUGUCCUCCACCCUGCUCCGGCUUUGCGGCCGUGAGCGGGUGGUCGCGCCCCUUUCCACAACCAAACCCCUGUGCACAUCUCUGGGGACUUCUGGUGGGUUCGCGCCUGCCGAGUCCCUGGCUUUACACAAACUCUUCUAUGUCUAUAGAAUGUUCAAGGACCUCGCGUCCUGUUAACAAAUAACAACUUUCAACAACGGAUCUCUUGGCUCUCGCAUCGAUGAAGAACGCAGCGAAAUGCGAUAAGUAAUGUGAAUUGCAGAAUUCAGUGAAUCAUCGAAUCUUUGAACGCACCUUGCGCCCUUUGGUAUUCCGAUGGGCAUGCCUGUUUGAGUGUCUUGAAAUCAUCAAACCCCCGGUUUUGCGAUCGCGGGGCUUGGACUUGGGGGCUCUGCUGCCGCGAGGCGGCUCCCCUUAAAUGCAUCGGUCGGGCCUACUGGGGCUCCGUCACCUGGGCGUUGUAUUACCCUCGCUCUGCCGACGUGCCUCAGCUUUUGCGCGCCCGACCCCGACCUGCCUCUGGAGCGGCGGUCAACACUCUUUGAGAUCUGACCUCAAAUCAGGUAGGACUACCCGCUGAACUUAA